UACGAGGGGUGCAAGCGUUGCUCGGAAUUAUUGGGCGUAAAGGGUAGGUAGGUGGUCUCAUUUGUCUGGGGUGAAAGCCUUGAGCUUAACUCGAGAAGUGCCUCAGAAACGGUGAGACUAGAGUUCUGGAGAGGGUCGUGGAAUUCCCGGUGUAGCGGUGGAAUGCGCAGAUAUCUGGAGGAAUACCGGUGGCGAAAGGCGGCGAUCCUGGACUGUAACUGACACUGAGGAACGAAAGCC
rnacentral:rRNA from 1 species